UCGUGAAACGUUCGAGAGUGUGUGGCAGCGCGAUAUCGGGCUCGACGAAGAAACGCCCAAAAGAGCCUCCCCUAUUCAGAUGGCGACGGCGCAUUUCUGCCGAUCGAUCUUGCGAUUCCCAAUUUUCAUCCCUCCCUGCAGCGACUCUCCUCUUCUCGGCUUCGAGGGGGGUAGAAACGGAUAUGUGCGCGCACGUAGCUCUCCGUGCAUUUCCGGGAAGCAGUUGCUGCAGCAAUUGCAGCAGUGAGUUGCGCUGCUGAUGUGGUAUCUGCUCCGGACAGCAACGACCCUGAACCAGAACGGGGAGAGUUGGGGUUACCCACAGUUUCACGGUCAGUAGGAGAAAGGGUGGCCGAAAAUCAGCGACUGAUGCAGGAAAAGUUAGCUGAUAUACAAAAAUUAUUGUAUGCGCAAAUUUUAGUCGAACGUCGUUGGGAAGGUAGAAAAUCGACAUUCGAUCUGGUUCGCGCCCAGGAUCAGUUAUCGAAUCAUCAUCGUCGUUCUUUCCCGCCCGACGCAUCCGCCUCUAUCUUCACCACUUUCACAACAAUGACAACAACGUCGACCGGUAAAACCAGUACUGACAGCCGCACUCGCAGCGCCAGCUUCGCAGUCGCGAUCGCAAUGCAUUAGGACACGCGCUUCGCGCUCAACUGCACCUUGAUAAUCUCUCGGCGGGGCCGAUCUUGCUCUUUUUCGAAGAGCACAACGAUUGACACUGGUCUUGUAAUCGAAUUUGCAGGAUGGCUUCCGCACGCGUUACGUAACCCGAUGGUCGUAUCUCAUAGGUAUAUAGAUCAACUACAGAAGCAUCUAAGUAUAUGGAUUAUCGCGCUAGUGGUAGACUCGAGCAAGUGUGUAACAGUGGAUUUACAAUAAGAUGUCGCAGCGGUUAAUGGCUUUUUGUUGAUCGAUACGCGCUUAUACUGAUGAAGGCUGAAGUUUCGAUGAUGAAGACAAUGACAUGCGAAGUGAUGCUGAAAUUAUAAAGCUGAAAUUUUAAGAAGCGGGUAUUAAUGAUAAGUGUUAUAACCGUCUAGUACAAGCACGAACAUUGAAAAAAGAAUAUAAAUAAAAUGCUGUAGAUUGGUAUUUA